rnacentral:rRNA from 1 species
CAGCAGCCGCGGGAAUACGGAGGGUGCAAGCGUUACUCGGAAUCACUGGGCGUAAAGGACGCGUAGGCGGAUUAUCAAGUCUCUUGUGAAAUCUAACGGCUUAACCGUUAAACUGCUUGGGAAACUGAUAAUCUAGAGUAAGGGAGAGGCAGAUGGAAUUCUUGGUGUAGGGGUAAAUCCGUAGAGAUCAAGAAGAAUACCCAUUGCGAAAGCGAUCUGCUGGAACUUAACUGACGCUAAUGCGUGAAAGCGUGGGGAGCAAACAGGAUUAGAUACCCGCGUAGUCCCUGUCUCUUAUACA